UACGUAGGGUCCGAGCGUUGUCCGGAUUUAUUGGGCGUAAAGAGCUCGUAGGCGGUUUGUCACGUCUGCUGUGAAAUCCCGAGGCUCAACCUCGGGCCUGCAGUGGGUACGGGCAGACUGGAGUGCGGUAGGGGAGAAUGGAAUUCCUGGUGUAGCGGUGGAAUGCGCAGAUAUCAGGAGGAACACCGAUGGCGAAGGCAGUUCUCUGGGCCGUAACUGACGCUGAGGAGCGAAAGCGUGGGGAGCGAACAGG
rnacentral:rRNA from 1 species